CAUACGUCCUCCGGGGGCAUCCCCGGGGGAUGAAAGAAUUAUCGGUGAAGGAUGGGCAUGCGUGAUAUUAGGUAGUUGGCGGGGCAACGGCCCACCAAGCCUACGAUAUCUAGGGGUUCUGAGAGGAAGGUCCCCCACAUUGGUACUGAGACACGGACCAAACUCCUACGGGAGGCAGCAGUGAGGAAUAUUGGUCAAUGGACGAGAGUCUGAACCAGCCAAGUCGCGUGAAGGAAGACGGAUCUAUGGUUUGUAAACUUCUUUAGUGCGGGAACAAAGCGGUGUCGUGACACCGGAUGAGUGUACCGCAAGAAUAAGCAUCGGCUAACUCCGUGCCAGCAGCCGCGGUAAUACGGAGGAUGCGAGCGUUAUCCGGAUUUAUUGGGUUUAAAGGGAGCGCAGGCUGCGAGGCAAGUCAGCGGUCAAAUGUCGGGGCUCAACCCCAGCCUGCCGUUGAAACUGUCCUGCUAGAGUUCGAGUGAGGUAUGCGGAAUGCGUUGUGUAGCGGUGAAAUGCAUAGAUAUGACGCAGAACUCCGAUUGCGAAGGCAGCAUACCAACUCGCGACUGACGCUGAGGCUCGAAAGCGUGGGUAUCGAACAGGAUUAGAUACCCUGGUAGUCCA
rnacentral:rRNA from 1 species